rnacentral:rRNA from 1 species
UACGAAGGGGGCUAGCGUUGUUCGGAAUUACUGGGCAUAAAGGGUGCGUAGGUGGCUUGUUAAGUCAGGGGUGAAAGUUUUCGGCCCAACCGGAAAAUGGCCUUUGAUACUGGCGAGCUCGAGUGCGUGAGGGGUAACCGGAACGAGCAGUGUAGCGGUGAAAUGCGUAGAUAUCAGGAGGAACACCAAUAGCGAAGGCAGCUCGCUGGGACGGUACUGACGCUGAGGCGCGAAAGCGUGGGGAGCGAACAGG